UACAGAGGGGGCAAGCGUUAUUCGGAAUUAUUGGGCGUAAAGGGCGCGUAGGCGGCCUGGCAAGUGGAUGGUGAAAUCCCUCGGCUUAACCGAGGAACUGCCAUCCAGACUGCUUGGCUUGAGACCGGGAGAGGUGAGUGGAAUUCCCAGUGUAGCGGUGAAAUGCGUAGAUAUCAAGUGGAACACCAGUGGCGAAGGCGAAUCCCUGGAAAAUACCUGACACUGAGGCACGAAAGCUAGGGGAGCAAACAGG
rnacentral:rRNA from 1 species